CAACGCAUUAGUCAGGAAAGGCAACUCAGUGAUCCCUUCAGCUCCAAUGAUGAACUUUGUGCGUGCCCAGAUCAAGAAAGCAGCUGAUGAGACCGAGACUAUUCUGGAAACAACCCCGGCUGGCAAAAGCGAUGGGGAAGGUGCACUUCGAGCAUUCAUUAAGCGCCAGGGCCAAAAGUUAAGGCGGCUAUCAAACCUUUUUGGUUGUCGUGACCCCGAGUAUGUAUC